rnacentral:rRNA from 1 species
UACGUAGGGGGCUAGCGUUGUCCGGAAUCAUUGGGCGUAAAGAGCGUGUAGGCGGCCCGGUAAGUCCGCUGUGAAAGUCGGGGGCUCAACCCUCGAAAGCCGGUGGAUACUGUCGGGCUAGAGUGCGGAAGAGGCGAGUGGAAUUCCUGGUGUAGCGGUGAAAUGCGUAGAUAUCGGGAAGGAACACCAGUGGCGAAGGCGACUACCUGGCCUGUUCUUGACGCUGAGGCGCGAAAGCUAGGGGAGCAAGCGGG